AGUGAACGCUGGCGGUGUGCUUAACACAUGCAAGUCGAACGAGAACGGACUAAAGUUUACUUUAGUUGUCAGCUAAGUGGCGCACGGGUGAGUAAUCUAUAGCUAACCUACCUAAAGAGGGGGAUAAUUAAUGGAAACGUUUUGUAAUACCCUAUACCCUCGUUAAUCUACACAAGUGUAUAAGAGAAAACUUUAGUGCUUUAGGAUGGGGCUGUAUUGUAUCAGCUAGUGUGGUGUAAUGGACCACAAGGCUAUGACGCAUAACUGGUUUGAGAGGAUGAUCAGUCACACUGGAACUGAGACACGGGUCCAGACUCCUACGGGGAGGCAGCAGUGGGGAAUAUUGCACAAUGGGGGAAACCCUGAUGCAGCAACACCGCGUGGAGGAAGACAACUUUUCGGAGCGUAAAACUCCUUUUAUAUCCCAAGAUAAUGACGGUAGGAUAUGAAUAAGCACCGGCU
rnacentral:rRNA from 1 species